rnacentral:rRNA from 1 species
AGCGUAGACGGUGUGGCAAGUCUGAUGUGAAAGGCAUGGGCUCAACCUGUGGACUGCAUUGGAAACUGUCAUACUUGAGUGCCGGAGGGGUAAGCGGAAUUCCUAGUGUAGCGAUGAAAUGCGUAGAUAUUAGGAGGAACACCAGUGGCGAAGGCGGCUUACUGGACGGUAACUGACGUUGAGGCUGAAAGCGUGGGGAGCAAACA